rnacentral:lncRNA from 1 species
GAUAACAACUGGACUGUUAAAAAAGAUUAAGUAACAACAAUUAUAAUAAUAAUCUUCUUUUAAUACUGCUCAGAGUUUGUUUAUUCCUCAAGUGAUUAUUCCCUCUCCACUUCAGUGUUUUGUAUAUCAAUGACAAAGUUGUCAUGGAAACUCAGCUAUCACAUGCCAGCAUCAUAUAUUGAAGUCUGUGUCCAGUAGUUUAUUUUUAGGCACUGAUUAAUUCAUUCUUCACAAACUAAUCUAGAAGUUUUGUUUUCUGAUUUAUGUAUUACCACCCCAUAUGGCUUUCCUCAUUUUUUUUCUAAAUAAUGAAAAUAUUUAGCCACACAAAUGAACCAUGAACACAUUUAUACACAUUUAUUUAGCAUUAGAAAGAAGGAAGGCCACUCAUAGUUUUCACACUUCUUCUGAGACUGGUAUGACUGCUUGACUCUGUAAGGAGAUGAGUAAAGUUUCCUGUAAAAAGUGAAAGCAGAGGUGAUGUGACUGUGAGGUCAAUGGCAAGAAUAAAUACAUCAGUAUGUCAUAGAUGCAGCAGCAGAAAGACAUGUUUGGGAAAAGUUUAGAUUGACAACUCAAAUUCUUCUGCCUAGCUUCCAAAUGCACCACCCAAUUCCCAGCUCACUCCUAUGGUUCUCCCAGUUUUGUGUUUCACCAGCAAAAGGACUGACAAGAAAGGGGAGGAGAAGACAAAAAAGAAAGAGAAGGGGCAAUCUGAACCCACUGCCACAAAAACUCAAAAAUGCACUUCCCUGUUUUUGGCAAACCCUGUAAGCUGGAGAAGAUAACUAAUUUCCCUUUGUCACUAAUCUAGCUGGGACCCACAACUUUGCACCUGUCAUAUGUGACAAUUAGAAAUAGCCCCUACAUUGUACUUUCCUAAACUAACCAAAGUUUCACUUGCCUGUUGUUAAUGUGCUUGCAUCUAAAGCUGGUGGCAAUACUAUUUUUAUUAUUUUCUAACUAUUAUGUCAAUAUAUAAUAUGUUGAUCUUUAAGUGUCUAUUGUUUAUUGUUUUCUACUUAUUCUUCUAUUAUUAGACCAUAUAGCAUAACACAUUAUGUUGGGGAAUUUUUGUGGUUUUUGGUUAUUUGAACUGGAUUAGAAUAAAUUGAGUAUACAUGAUACUGUUUUGUCUGUCAUGUCAACAUAUGAUGAUAUAAUAAUUUGAACUUAAAAGUUCAUGAUAUAGUAUAUAAUAUAUAAUCUUCUAUUGUAAAGUUGAAAAUCCCUUCCUAUAUCUUGUUCUACUACAUCAAGGGAAUUUCUGUUAUGUAAGAUUUUUUUUUUGACCUGGAGGAUAAAACUCUAUACAAUUUUAAGGGUAAUAUAAAAAAAGACUUUCUCAAAUUUUCCUUCAGGUGAAACAAGACAUACAAUAGGAAAUUUGUCAGUUCUAUGUUAGUAAAACAAUUAUCUGUUCUAUACAAAGGGAGCAACUAUUUUUUUCUUUUCUUUUAAUUUAAAAUUUUGUUUAUUAUUUGUUCAUGUAUGUGUGUGUGUGUGUGUGUGUGUGUAUUUCUUUUUGAAAUCCUAACUUCUAUGACUGAAUUGAUUUCACGGAUACAUGCCACUUAUUUUGUUAUCAGUAUCGCUUGGUUUCUACUAAUCUCUCCCCCUUUUUUCAAAAUUUUUUAUUAGAUAUUUUCUUCAUAAACAUUUCAAAUGCUUUCCAGAAAGUCGCCUAAACCCUCCCCCUGCCCUGCUCCCCUACCCACCCACUCCCAGUUCUUGGUCCUGGUGUUCCCCUGUACUGAGACAUAUAAAGUUUGCAAGACCAAGGGGCCACUUUUCCUAAUAAUGGCCGACUAGGCCAUCUUCUGCUACGUAUGCAGCUAGAGACACAAGCUCUGCGGGUACUGAUUAGUGCACAUUGUUGCUCCACCUAUCGGGUUGCAGACACCUUCAGCAACUUGGGUACUUUCUCUAGCUACUCCAUUGGGGGCCCUGUGUUCCAUCCAAUAGAUGACUGUGAGCAUCCACUUCUGUAUUUUCCUUGCCCUGGCCUAGCCUCACAAGAGACAGCUAUAUCAGGGUCCUUUCAGCAAAAUCUCUUGAUUUUCCCAAAUAUUUCCUUGGACUUCUGACUGAAUGAACUGUCCAGGUGGAGCAUGGUACAUCAUAGUAGGCCUAUAUACCACUGAAUGAUUGACUAAAUGAUUGGAAUGGUUGACUAAAUAGUAUACUUAUCAUUUAGUAUACCCAUACUCAUAGCAUUAGGGAGCAACUGAUUGGUUUACUGAUUUUGGAAGCUAUUCAAGAGACUGUGAACAACUGUGUAUUUCUUGCCUUAAGGAACUUACUGGGUAAGAUUGCACAUUUUUCUGGAUUGACUGGCUGACUGACUAACUGACUGACUGACUUAUUCAUUCAUUCAUUCAUUCAUUCAUUCAUUCAUUCAUUCAUUGAUAGUCUGUGCAGAGUACUUCAUAAUGUUCUUGACUAUAAGGACUGACCCAUGUAGCCAUGUUGGCAACUGUUCAGCAUUCCUGUGGAAGAUGAGAGUGUCUUGGAUGAGAAAGCAGGUAUUCAAAACCAGCCUUUUGAAGCUCAAAGUGCUUUCUAUUACAGUACAGUUCAGAAUCUCUUUACCUUAGGGCAUAUUUUAUCAAGUCAGAGCUUCAGAAUCUUAUUCCUUCUAUUCCCUGAUUCUUACUAAAAGAAAUCC